UCGGAACGUGCCCAGUCGUGGGGGAUAACUACUCGAAAGAGUAGCUAAUACCGCAUACGAUCUGAGGAUGAAAGCGGGGGACCUUCGGGCCUCGCGCGAUUGGAGCGGCCGAUGGCAGAUUAGGUAGUUGGUGGGAUAAAAGCUUACCAAGCCGACGAUCUGUAGCUGGUCUGAGAGGACGACCAGCCACACUGGGACUGAGACACGGCCCAGACUCCUACGGGAGGCAGCAGUGGGGAAUUUUGGACAAUGGGCGAAAGCCUGAUCCAGCAAUGCCGCGUGCAGGAUGAAGGCCUUCGGGUUGUA
rnacentral:rRNA from 1 species